UACGGAAGGUCCGGGCGUUAUCCGGAUUUAUUGGGUUUAAAGGGAGCGUAGGCCGGAGAUUAAGCGUGUUGUGAAAUGUAGACGCUCAACGUCUGCACUGCAGCGCGAACUGGUUUCCUUGAGUACGCACAAAGUGGGCGGAAUUCGUGGUGUAGCGGUGAAAUGCUUAGAUAUCACGAAGAACUCCGAUUGCGAAGGCAGCUCACUGGAGCGCAACUGACGCUGAAGCUCGAAGGUGCGGGUAUCGAACAGG
rnacentral:rRNA from 1 species